rnacentral:rRNA from 1 species
UACGGGGGGGGCAAGCGUUGUUCGGAAUUACUGGGCGUAAAGGGCUCGUAGGCGGCCAACUAAGUCAGACGUGAAAUCCCUCAGCUUAACUGGGGAACUGCGUCUGAUACUGGAUGGCUUGGAUUCGGGAGAGGAAUGCGGAAUUCUCGGUGUAGCGGUGAAAUGCGUAGAUAUCGAGAGGAACACCUGAGGUGAAGACGGGUUGCUGGGCCGACACUGACGCUGAGUGCGCGAAAGCCAGGGGAGCAAACGGG